CCUACGGGUGGCAGCAGUGGGGAAUAUUGGACAAUGGGCGAAAGCCUGAUCCAGCCAUGCCGCGUGUGUGAAGAAGGCCUUCGGGUUGUAAAGCACUUUCAGUGGGGAAGAAAGCCUUGGGGCUAAUACCCUCGAGGAAGGACAUCACCCACAGAAGAAGCACCGGCUAACUCCGUGCCAGCAGCCGCGGUAAUACGGAGGGUGCGAGCGUUAAUCGGAAUUACUGGGCGUAAAGCGCGCGUAGGCGGUCUGAUAAGCCGGUUGUGAAGGCCCCGGGCUCAACCUGGGAACGGCAUCCGGAACUGUCAGGCUAGAGUGCAGGAGAGGAAGGUAGAAUUCCCGGUGUAGCGGUGAAAUGCGUAGAGAUCGGGAGGAAUACCAGUGGCGAAGGCGGCCUUCUGGACUGACACUGACGCUGAGGUGCGAAAGCGUGGGUAGCAAACAGGAUUAGAUACCCUUGUAGUC
rnacentral:rRNA from 1 species